rnacentral:rRNA from 1 species
CGAACGGGUGAGUAACACGUGGGCAACCUGCCCAAAANAGGGGGAUAACACUUGGAAACAGGUGCUAAUACCGCAUAACCAUAGUUACCGCAUGGUAGCUAUGUAAAAGGUGGCUAUGCUACCGCUUUUGGAUGGGCCCGCGGCGCAUUAGCUAGUUGGUGGGGUAAAGGCUUACCAAGGCAAUGAUGCGUAGCCGAACUGAGAGGUUGAUCGGCCACAUUGGGACUGAGACACGGCCCAAACUCCUACGGAAGGCAGCAG